GACGAACGCUGGCGGCGUGCUUAACACAUGCAAGUCGAACGGAAAGGCCCUGCUUGCAGGGUACUCGAGUGGCGAACGGGUGAGUAACACGUGGGUGAUCUGCCCUGCACUUCGGGAUAAGCCUGGGAAACUGGGUCUAAUACCGGAUAGGAGCCAUUUUUAGUGUGAUGGUUGGAAAGUUUUUUCGGUGUAGGAUGAGCUCGCGGCCUAUCAGCUUGUUGGUGGGGUAAUGGCCUACCAAGGCGGCGACGGGUAGCCGGCCUGAGAGGGUGGACGGCCACAUUGGGACUGAGAGACGGCCCAGACUCCUACGGGAGGCAGCAGGGGGGAAUAUUGCACAAUGGGCGCAAGCCUGAUGCAGCGACGCCGCGGGGGGGAUGACGGCCUUCGGGUUGUAAACUCCUUUCGCGAGGGACGAAGCUUUUUGUGACGGUACCUAGAGAAGAAGCACCGGCUAACUACGUG
rnacentral:rRNA from 1 species